AGUGAACGCUGGCGGCAGGCCUAAUACAUGCAAGUCGAACGGCAGCACAGUGGAGCUUGCUCCAUGGGUGGCGAGUGGCGGACGGGUGAGGAAUACAUGGGAAUCUGCCCAGUCGUGGGGAUAACGUAUGGAAACGUACGCUAAUACCGCAUGCGCCCUUCGGGGGAAAGUCGGGGACCGCAAGGCCUGACGCGAUUGGAUGAGCCCAUGUUCGAUUAGCUAGUUGGCGGGUAACGGCCCACCAAGGCGACGAUCGAUAGCUGGUCUGAGAGGAUGAUCAGCCACACUGGAACUGAGACACGGUCCAGACUCCUACGGGAGCAGCAGUAGGGAAUAUUGGACAAUGGGCGCAAGCCUGAUCCAGCCAUGCCGCGUGAGUGAAGAAGG
rnacentral:rRNA from 1 species